rfam:Erinaceus europaeus unplaced genomic scaffold scaffold00587, whole genome shotgun sequence
GGAUGUGAGGGUGAUCUGGUUGUGACAUCUGUCACCCCAUUGAUCUCCAGAGUUGAUUCAGAUGAUCUGGCUAGCUAGGCAGGUGUCCCCUUCCUCCCUCACUGCUCCAUGUGAGUCCCUCUAGAAGCUGCUCCCCAGGUCAAAAAGGACUGUCUUCCCUGGAGAAAAACUGACUUGUCUUCAGUCGAGAGUAUACGAGUAGCUGCGCUCCCCUCCGAGAACCUCCAGACCAUCUAAAACUAAUUCAAAAUCUUCUUUAUAAUCACAGGAGGUAUACUUACUCUUUGU